CUCGUUCAUUAGGAGUAGAGAUUAAAUUUAUUUUUAAUGGGGGAGGGUCCAACAUGAUAGCUUGCUACCGGGCCCCUCAUGUGUCGCCUAGGCGUUGCACUAUUGCCUAGGCUCGGCGCACCCCAA
rnacentral:snRNA from 2 species